rnacentral:rRNA from 1 species
UCCAGACUCCUACGGGAGGCAGCAGUGGGGGAUAUUGCACAAUGGGGGAAACCCUGAUGCAGCGAUGCCGCGUGAGUGAAGACGGCCUUCGGGUUGUAAAGCUCUGUCGCAGAGGACGAAAAUGACGGUACUCUGCAAGAAAGCUCCGGCUAACUACGUGCCAGCAGCCGCGGUAAUACGUAGGGGGCGAGCGUUAUCCGGAUUCACUGGGUGUAAAGGGAGCGUAGACGGCCGUGCAAGCCAGGAGUGAAAGCCCGGGGCCCAACCCCGGGACUGCUCUUGGAACUGUGCGGCUGGAGUGCGGGAGGGGCAGGCGGAAUUCCUGGUGUAGCGGUGAAAUGCGUAGAUAUCAGGAGGAACACCGGCGGCGAAGGCGGCCUGCUGGACCGCGACUGACGUUGAGGCUCGAAAGCGUGGGGAGCGAACAGGAUUAGAUACCCGCGUACUA